rnacentral:sRNA from 1 species
CACACGUAGGGUUUGGGAUUUUCCGGGAGAAAUCCGGAAGGUUCCGCCGGUGGCGUUCUUCAAGAGAAGACGCUGUUUGCCCUGCGGAGGUUAACCGGAAAAGGAGAAAAAGG